AUCGAAUUGAUCCUGCCCUCUUUUGAAGGACUUGUUUGAAGGAGUCUUCAUCAGGGAACAAUUUUAGCCUUUUGGUCUGCUUGGUAUGCUGUAGGGUCCCUCCCGCAGGCCAAGAGCCUUUCCAGAGCUGUUGUGUCACGGGUUCCUUGUGCCCAGGGUGCAGUUUUUUAGGGAUUGGUUGCUCUAGUUUGGAAGCAAGGGCUCUCUUUAUCUCUAGAGGCAGAGGCACUCUCCUCUCUCUCUCCCUAUUCAGGUCUCCCACUGGAUCGAAGCGCUCUCUGGCUUCCACCCCCUCUGGCAUGAGUGCUUUUCCCAUGGGCUGUGAGUGGAUCUCUGCAUCCUCUGUGGACUUAAUGCAAAGUGACAGGGCCACAACUUGUUUCAUCCCAGUCCUCACGACAGCUUGCAGAGGAAUCUCAGCUGUGACGAGCACUUUGGAGCACUUCUUCCCCCUUUUUUCCAUUGACCUUGGUGCCGGCAUGUUGUUUUCCAGCACAUUCUCACUUCCUCCUCUCCUCUGACUAGAAGAAAAGCUGCUGCUCGUAGGUGCUACUGCUAAAAGGCUUCACCAGUUCAGAGAUCCCUGGACGCUCCCCCAGCGGCAGGAGGUCGAUCUUGUUUAGGCCGCGUGUCGGGGAGUCACUGGCCAUGUUUUUGCCACGGGCAUCGGGCGGGCAGCGGCAGCCACGGGGGCCCUGGCGCUGUUUAAGGCUUCUCCUGGUGCGUGUUGCCGGAGGAGAAGCUGCCGCUGCCAGCCGUGCCCUCCUGCCUGGGGCGUGGCUGGCCGCGGGGCCGGGCAGGCCGGCUGUGCCGCGGCCACACCGAGCUGGCGGUGGCCACAGCGGUGCCCAGCCCUGCACCGCGACGGGAUGGGCUGUGGCACGGUGCCUCCCCACCCCUGGAACAGACUGCCCGUGGGCUGCUUUGAUGUUCUUUGUCAAUGGGACCAUGAGGCCUUACCCACCUUUCUAAUUGGGCCGGCGGCACGCCCAUCUUCAGAGCUAUCAACCAGUGGCUCUGUUGGACAUGGUAGAAGCUUCUAGCAGCUUCUCCCAGAAGUCACCUCUGUGGGCUCCCUGCUGCUACCACAAAACCAGGCUGUGCCAAAUCAACACGGCGGUCUUUGGUAGGACUGCUGAGGUGCAAUGAUGAGCUUCACCUUUUGUAACUUCUUGCUCUGAGCCUGAGUAAAUGACAAAAUUCUCGUAGCUGCUGUCAGUGAUUUAAGCAUGGCAAGAAACUCACUCCCCAUGCCGAGCGCCCCCCCAGCCCCGGAGUCUGUGAGCAAGAACCUGAAUGUAUUGGAUGAUGUAACCUAGAAAUGUGUGUUCUAUUUCAUCUGUGGAAAGCAGUUUUUUGGGACAUGUUUUAUCCUUCUGUUACCCUUCCAGGGAAGAGGGAGACUGAUGCCUUCUGAUACUGGCCCAGCCAUGAAAACCAGGUGAGGCAGUGUUUCUUACCUCUUUCAGCACUCCUCAGUCCUCCAGGGGGGCAUUUUAAGGAUGGCCUGGAGCUGUUGGAGCUGCCCUGGACAGCAGGCAAGCAUGGACUCUCUCUGCUGCUGCUGGGCUCUGGACCCCUUUCCUCCUCUGCCUGCUUAUCACUGUCACUACUAUUUUCCACAUGGCAGGAGGUCCUGCUGAGAUUUUCAAACUAGUAGGUGUUGGAUAGAGCUUUGUUCCCCCUUGCCAUGCCCACGUCUCCUUCCUUCCCUAGCGUUGCUUUUUUUCCUUCUACGGUUUCCCAUCACGUCGCUCACAAAACCGGCCAUGCACAGGCCGCUUUGAUCCUCUUGCUUUUUGUAUUUGAGCAUCCCUUGCGUUCUGCAGGGCUCCCCCCGCGAUGCCGGAGGUUUCUUAGGUCUGUUUUCUCUUUGUUGUGUUGGUAUUUCAAUGUUUCAUUCCAUUCUGGGCUCCUACUUCGGAGAGAAACGUGCAGCUCCUGGAGCAGGUGUUGUGGAGGGGCAUUCCGAUGAUUCAGGGGCUGCAGUAUCUCUGUUGGAAGGCAAGGCUGGGGGAGCUGGGCCUGUUGUAAGUCACAGGACUGAGCAGGGAACUUCUUCAUGUCUGUCACUGCUUUAAGAGGGGGUGCUAGGAGGCUGCAGCCAGACUGUUCCUGUCGGUGCCAAGCACUGGGACAUGAGGCCAUGGGCAGCAUGUCAUGCUGCAGGAAGUUCCAGGUGGACAUAAGGAUGAAUUUCUUGAUGGUGGGGGUGAGCAAGCACCAGAAAAGAUUGCCCCGAGAGGUUGUGGAGUGUCCCUCACUUGAGCUCCACCAGAACCACGUUGACACUAUGUUGUGCCACGUGUUGUAGGAAGAUCCUACUGCAGCGGGAAGGGUGGAACUGAUGAGUGUCUAUGGUCCCUUACAGCCUAGCAGUGUGAUCCUGUGCUUGGUGUUCUGUGCUGUGUGAACUGCAAAAUCGCAGCCUAGCCCUCGCAGCUUCAUUCUGUCCUUGGGGGAAAGUGGGUUACUCCACUGUGUCCGUGUGUUCUCUGCUCUCCUUGUGCAGCUGGUAACAUGCCUGUACCUCCCACCUGAGAGAAGAGAAGGCUGUGAAGAAAGAGGUUGUUGUGCUUGCCAUCUUUCCUCCAGUCUCCUCUCUGCACAGAGCACAGGGAAGGAGAGCUCCUUGCGGGAGCUGCUGACAGUGAGGCUGAGCUCCUCUGCAGUAUUGGUGAGGCAGACCUUGUCGGUGGUACUGUGACUGCUAGCACGGGGGGAUACCGGCUGUGUGCCGGUGUGAAAGAGCAGGUCCAGUGGGUGUCAGGUCGUGCAGGAGGAAGGCUGUUUCCUUUGGAAGGAAGCGCUGUCCUUUUGCAUGGUAUCUGUUUCCAUGCGGGCUGUCUGUUUCUUGGCUUUGCUGUUCUGAAGGUGGGUGUUCUGUGAUGAAAGCGAUUGGAUGCCUUUGCAAAGUCACCAUAGUUUGCAGCACCUGUGGGACGGAUGGAGUCAUUGCUUUUAAAGCAGGAUGCACAACCACUGAUCUCCUGCUCAUGGCCUUUCUCCUCACUCUCUAGGGAAGCACCUGUUCUCUGCCUUUGUUCCACCGGUGGGUGCUGAACAUGUGCAGCAACCCUGGAGUCCACAGCAAUUCGGUGGUGUCAGCUGCUGCAGCAGCCCUGGCUCAUGGCAAAGUCUGCACGGUCAAGUACUGCUCAGUCAUGCCCGAUUUCUGGACCCAUCCCUCCUCGUCCUAAAAGCACAAUCCAAUGUUACCAUUCUUUUCCCCAGGAAAGGAGAAACCCAGAGGAGUGUUCCUACAUGACUGUUUUUAAACCUGUUACGGGCCCUUCCCAGUUUGCUAUUUACUGCCUGAAAGGCUGCAGUGACACCGGUGCUUCUCUCUUCUCGCUUUGCUUUGUUGAAGCACGGCCGGCCGCUUGACCGCACUGACUUCCUACCUGUGAGGGUUCCGUUGCCUACCGUCUGCUUCCAGACAUCAGCAGACACCUCUGGGAUCCUAACGGUGGCCUAGAGGAGGAAUCCUUCCACGCUACGAUGAGGUUUGGAUCCGGCAGCUUGGAAGCAGCCACAGGCAGAGAGCGUGGGGACGCCCACGGUGCCGAGACGUCGUUUUCCGUCCAGGCCGGAGUUUGUGGGCUCAUCUUCCGAAAGCUAAGUGUCGGGGACGGGGGUGAGGAGAAGAGGAAAAAGGUUUUCAGUGGCAGGAGGCAAUUCAAAGCUAGCUUAGGGCAGAGGGCCCUAGAGGGCCAGAGGCCCGGUAAGUAAAGGUAGAGGAUUCAUCCCGGGCAUCAGCAGAGCUUUUGCCGGGCAGGGCAUUAGCGUCCCCCAUCCGCGUUUUAGGGAGCCGGGCAUCGUAUGCCUGGUUGGAGUCCACAGGGUUAGGGUGCAGCAGGGAGCGGGCAGCCCACACCGGGAUCCCCGUGCCAGGAGCGUCUGCAGUUGUGAGGAGUAGAGUGGAGCAGGAGCACUUGAGAGAGACCCAGUGAGGCUGAGGGAGGGCUUGAGAGGUGAGGGAGUGUCAGGCCAGAGGGCUUGAGAGGUGAGGGAGUGUCAGGCCAGAGAGCAGGAGGUGAAAGUAAGGCGUAGAGGCUAGGAUGCAAAUUUGAGCACAGGUGUAUGAGCCCUGAGAAGUGUCCUGUUUCCCUGAGAGCAGGUGCAGGCAGCCAGGCUGUGGCAGGCCAGCGGCAGAAGAGCCGAGAGGGGCAGGCAGGAAGCGUUAGUGGGGAGCAGGGUCCGCAGGGCCGGGUCUAACCGGGGGUUUCCCGCCCCGGCCCACCCUGGGAUCUCCUGUCUCCCCGCAGUCGAGGAUGUCUCCUCCCAUUCCUCGAGGCGGCGGUUGGUAAGGCUUCGUGCCUUUGCCACCGCCAAGAGCGCGGCUCUGUCAGCCUCUGCCCUGUCUCAGGGCCAAAGUUAGUUAGGCUAGGGAGAAACUGUGGAUGACUCGUCCUGCCCGCAGGACAACCCUUGGGACCCUGGAUCAGGAGCAUCCUCGACUGCUAGCAUAGGGCCUUAGAGAAGUAGGGUGAAGCAGGGCACUUGAGAGAGACCCAGCGAGACUGAGGGAGGGCUCGAGAGGUGAAGGAGCGUCAGGCCAGAGAGCAGGCCAUGAAUGUAAGGUGUAGAGGCUAGGAUGCAAGUUUGAGUGCAGGUGUAUGAGCCCUGAGAACAGUCCUGUUUCCCUGAGAGCAGGUGCAGGCAGCCAGGCUGUGUCAGGGCAGUGGCAGAAGCGCUGAGGGGGCAGGCAGUAGGGCUAGGGCUAGGCAGGAAAUGAGGAGGGGGGGCAGAGUCGACUGGGUUGGGGUUGAGCGUGGGAUGCCCACCCUGGUAUCUCUGUCCUGCUGCAAUCAGGGAUGUCACAGCCCUAGUGGAGGCCAGGGUGGGUGAGUGGGCUUAGCAUCCAUCAUGCCACCAAGACUUUGUCCAUGCAGGUGUUAGGCUGUGAGCGAAGCCAACGCAAGCUGCCCAAGACUCUGGGCAUUGUUAAGAGAGGGAGAGCCCCAGGAUCAGUGUUUUUUGGCUGAUGUGCUGCAAAGUUCACGCUUUAAUGUUUGGUUUUCUUUUUUAUAGCUGAGGAAGAGACACCAGGCUGGUGACAGCGGGACUUUCCCAGAGGGCGAGGCGGCAUUCCUUGGCACCGGAUGUGGAUGGCGAUCCCUGGACCUCCCAGAGCUAAGUGGAGGGCUCAAGCUGCAGAGGGCAUGAGAGCAGGGUGCUGGGUUGGGAGUUGCUGGGGGGGGAUUAUUGAGUCUGGUUUGGCUAGGGAGAUGUGCAUCAUGUGAGCGCUUAGGGCACCUGAAGGGCAAGUGUCAUUUUUGCUGGCCAUGCUGAGCUGUGGAGGGCGGAGCAGUCCCGGGCACGUGGUGUCUGUCGUGUGUCGCGCACUCUGUGUGUGUCGGGCAUCUCAUCUUUCACGUCUUUACCCAUAGCCCCCCAGGGGUCCUAUGGGGAGCCCCGGCAUCACUGUUAGCAUUUCUGAUGUCUGCCUUCGUGGCCCCAGCAGCUUUGACGGGAGAGCUGGGACAUGGAUCUGAAUCUGGUGUCCCUUUAGACUCAUCCAGUGCGAUGUCUUUUGAGGUCUUGUUCUGAGCUGUACAGAGAGCCGUGCCCCACCACGAUCCAUUUUGGCGGGUUAGGACUUGUUAGAAGUCCAAGCUAGGUCUGGGCUUGUGACCGGAGGAGUGUCGGGCAUCCAUCUUUGUGGUUCUUGAAAUGAUUCAUCCUGUUAGCAUCAUCUUCCUGCAGGGUUCUGUGAGCCUGGCCAGCUCACCUUAUUUCUUCCGUUUGUCAUCUCAUUCCGAGUUCUCUCGGUCCUCCCGGUCGUUCUUCUUGCGGAGAGCUUUUGUUGUUGUGGUGUCCCCUGGUUUGUGGUGUCCUGUGUGAUGGAUGUUGUGGUGUCUUUGUCCCGGAGCUGCUCUGCCCUACCGCAUGGGUGGGUGUAGGGGUAAUAGAAGAAGCCCCUGGGGCCUGAACUGGGUGAUGUCAGGUGGAGUUGUGGUGUGGGGGGCAUUCAUAGGUUGGCAGCACGUGUCUGUCGCUGUCAAGUUCCCGUGCCGCAGUGUGACUUUGUUCCUGUGCGUGUUUCAGAUGCGGAUGGAUUCACUUGGUGGCAGAGGGCCCCAUCCCGGGUGAGGGGGUGUCCCCAGAAGAGGAACUGAAGCGGGAUGUCAUCUGUCAAGGUGAAGCGGAGCAGGAGCUGUCACUUUCCACGGAGCUGCCCUCAGCAAGCAGAGGAUGGAUGCGGUUUGCCUGUCUCCUGAGACCUGUGGGGAGCAGGAGUGUGUGAUGAAGCCUUGAUAUUUUCCAUUUGAAGGUGCCAUCCAGGUAGGCUUUGUUUAAGAGCCUGGGAGCUGAGGUGAGUCGGGGAGGCAGGGAGGAGGAGCGAGGGUGCAGUCAAGAUUGAGCUGUGCCACAUCACCUGCCGUCCUCUUAAGCCAGGUCCACCCCGUGACGACGGCAGGGGGCUCGGAGCACGGCCGAGGCGUGCGGGGCGAGGACGUAGGUAUUCUUAGGAGACGCUGAGGAAGAGACACCAGCCCGGUGGUGGCAGGACAUUCCCAGAGGGCGAGGCGGCGUUCCUUGGCACUGACGUGGACGGUGAUCACCGGACCUCCCAGAGCUAAGUGGAGGGCUCGAGGCACAGAGGGGAUGAGAGCAGGGUGCUGGGUUGGGAGUUGCUGGGGGGGAUUGAGUUCAGUAUGGAUCUGGAGAUGUGCAGGAUGUGAGUGCUUAGGGCACGUGAAAGGCAAGUGUCAUUUCUGAUUGUAAUGCUGAGACAGGCAGGGCAGAGCAGUCCCGGGCACGGGGUGUCUGUUGUCCACUCUGUGUGUGUCAGGCAUCUCAUCUUUCACGUCUUUUCCCAUAGCCCCUCAAGGGGCCUGUGGGGAAACCUGGGAUCACUGUUAGCAUUUCUGAUGUCUGCCUUCCUGGCUCCAGUGGCUUUGACUGGAGAGCUGGGACUUAGAUCUGAACCUCAUCUCUGUUCAGAGUCAUCCAGUGCGAUGUCUUUUGAGGUCUUGUUCUGAGCUGUACAGACAGCUGUGCCCCGCCACGAUCCAUUUUGGCGGGUUAGGACUUGUUUAGAAGUCCAAGCUAGGUCUUGGCUUGUGAGCGGAGGAGCGUCGGGCAUCCAUCUUUGUGAUUCUUGAAGUGAUUCAUCUUGUUAGCAUCCUUUUCCUGCAGGAUUCUGUGAGCCUGGCCAGCUCACCUUGUUUCUUCCGUUUCUCAUCUCAUUCUGAGUUCUCUCGGUCCUCCCGGUCGUUCUUCUUGCGGAGAGCUUUUUGUUGUUGUGGUGUCCCCUGGUUUGUGGUGUCCUGUGUGAUGGAUGUUGUGGUGUCUUUGUCCCGGAGCUGCUCUGCCCUGCCGCAUGGGUGGGUGUAGGGGUAAUAGAAGAAGCCCCUGGGGCCUGAACUGGGUGAUGUCAGGUGGAGUUGUGGUGUGGAGGGCAUUCAUAGGUUGGCAGCACGUGUCUGUCGCUGUCAAGUUCCCGUGCCGCAGUGUGACUUUGUUCCUGUGCGUGUUUCAGAUGCGGAUGGAUUCACUUGGUGGCAGAGGGCCCCAUCCCGGGUGAGGGGGUGUCCCCAGAAGAGGAACUGAAGCGGGAUGUCAUCUGUCAAGGUGAAGCGGAGCAGGAGCUGUCACUUUGCACGGAGCUGCCCUCAGCAAGCAGAGGAUGGAUGCGGUUUGCCUGUCUCCUGAGACCUGUGGGGAGCAGAAGAGGAGUGUGUGAUGAAGCCUCGAUAUUUUCCAUUUGAAGGUGCCAUCCAGCCAGGUCCACCCCGUGACGACGGCAGGGGGCUCGGAGCACGGCCGAGGCGUGCGGGGCGAGGACGUAGGUAUUCUUAGGAGACGCUGAGGAAGAGACACCAGCCCAGUGGGAGCUGAGCCAGGUCCACCCUGUGACGACGGCAGGGGGCUCGGAGCGCGGCCGAGGCGUGCGGGGCGAGGACGUAGGUAUUCUUAGGAGACGCUGAGGAAGAGAUACCAGCCCGGUGGUGGCAGGACAUUCCCAGAGGGCGAGGCGGCGUUCCUUGGCACUGAUGUGGACGGUGAUCACCGGACCUCCCAGAGCUAAGUGGAGGGCUCGAGGCACAGAGGGGAUGAGAGCAGGGUGAUGGGUUGGGAGUUGCUGGGGGGGAUUGAGUUCAGUAUGGAUCUGGAGAUGUGCAGGAUGUGAGUGCUUAGGGCACAUGAAAGGCAAGGGUCAUUUCUGAAUGUAAUGCUGAGACAGGCAGGGCAGAGCAGUCCCGGGCACGUGGUGUCUGUUGUCCACUCUGUGUGUGUCAGGCAUCUCAUCUUUCACGUCUUUUCCCAUAGCCCCUCAAGGGGCCUGUGGGGAACCCUGGGAUCACUGUUAGCAUUUCUGAUGUCUGCCUUCCUGGCUCCAGUGGCUUUGACUGGAGAGCUGGGACUUAGAUCUGAACCUCAUCUCUGUUCAGAGUCGUCCAGUGCGAUGUCUUUUGAGGUCUUGUUCUGAGCUGUACAGACAGCUGUGCCCCGCCACGAUCCAUUUUGGCGGGUUAGGACUUGUUUAGAAGUCCAAGCUAGGUCUUGGCUUGUGAGCGGAGGAGCGUCGGGCAUCCAUCUUUGUGAUUCUUGAAGUGAUUCAUCUUGUUAGCAUCCUUUUCCUGCAGGGUUCUGUGAGCCUGGCCAGCUCACCUUGUUUCUUCCGUUUGUCAUCUCAUUCCGAGUUCUCUCGGUCCUCCCGGUCGUUCUUCUUGCGGAGAGCUUUUUGUUGUUGUGGUGUCCUGUGUGAUGGAUGUUGUGGUGUCUUUGUCCCGGAGCUGCUCUGUCCUGCCGCAUGGGUGGGUGUAGGGGUAAUAGAAGAAGCCCCUGGGGCCUGAACUGGGUGAUGUCAGGUGGAGUUGUGGUGUGGAGGGCAUUCAUAGGUUGGCAGCACGUGUCUGUCGCUGUCAAAUUCCCGUGCUGCAGUGUGACUAUUUUCCUGACUUUGUUUCAGAUGCAGAUGGAUUCAAUCCAUGGCAGAGCGCCUCAUCCUGGGUGAGGGGGUUCCUCUGUGAAGGUGUAAGUCACUGUCUUAGCUGGGGUAGUGUAAAUAAUGACUGUGUAACAGUUCUUUUUUUCUCUUUACUUUCAGGAAGUGAUGGUAGAUGUCAGCUCUCAAGGUGAAGUGGAGCAGGUGAACUGUGAUUGUUGGAGAGAAGCAGUUGCUAUUGCGGAAGUCUUACUUGAUCAUGCAUGUCUAAGCAUCCCCUUUUGUGUUUUAUGGGGUCUGCUUGCAUGACACCAUUCUGUCACAAACCAGGUGCCGGUUUCUGUUUGGAAUUUUAGCUGGCAGCCAUCCCUUUGCUGGCCCAUGGCCUUAGACAGAAGCAGUGUCCCUUCUCCAUGGGCAUGCCAAUUCACCCUCCCCUGUUCCUGAUGUGAUUUUGUAGGAGGCAUUUGGCACUCCAAGUUAGACAUGUGUUGUCUCUGCCAGCUUUUGCCUGCCCUGUAAGCCUGCUUCCCUUCCUUUUCUGCAGCAUGUGUCUGUCCUGGUCUUAGAAUUUGUGCAUGCUUUGCAACGAAAUGUUUCAUUUAGCAUCAAUCAUGGACAUUGCUGAGCAAUUGUGUCUGUGUCUUCUUUCAUUCAUGAACUCUUCACCACUCGAUGGGGACUCUCCCAGACAUUUUAUGAUUGAAAUCCGUUCACCCGUGAGUGAAGAACACAAAGGGCAAGAGGUGUUUCUGCCUGUCCUGUUUUUUUUAAGGUGUAGGUGAAGUCUAAGCUCCAGUACCCUCUGCCGUGCAGCUCCUUUGGCCUAUCCCACAGUCCAUGAAGUAAGCACGUAUAAAAGCUGGGCCAAGUUUCCCUGCACAGUUUUAGUUUGUCUGUUGCAGCCCUGAGCAGGUGUCUAAAAUAAGUAAAAACCCCCUGGUGCCUCCGUCUCCCCCCUAGGCAGGGAUGCAGGGGCAGCAGCACCCCUGAAACGAUGUCCCAAACAGAGAGCCUUCCCAGGCCCCUGGAGAAGAGCUGAAGGGGUAAGAAGAGAGGGCAGGAAAG